rnacentral:pre_miRNA from 1 species
AUAGGAUCAUUGGGGCACAGAUUUCAAGUAAAGUAGGUUAGUAGGAUCAGCUGACUCUACUAAACUAUCUUACUUCGAAUUUGUGCCCCAAUGAUAGGCGUUAGAGUCGU